UUUGUCAUUAUGGGGUAUUGUGUGUAGAUGAGAAAAAAACAACAAUUGAAUAAAUGUUAAAAUAAGGCUGUAAUGUAACAAAAUGUGGAAAUAGUCAAGAGGUCUGAAUACUUUUUGAAUGCACUGUAUACCGUAUAUUCUUUUGGCGAAACAUUUAAUGGGUAGUUGCAGUAGUUAAUUACUUUUUUGCCAUGUUGCAGUGUAGCUAACUACUGAAAAGACUACGAAGAUUUGAAUUUCGGUAAACUACCACCAAGCUACUGCAAAAUGUAGGUAAAUGACUAUUUCAAUGACAUAGUGGAACUACUCCCAAACACUGUCUGUUUUCAACUCGACAGCACAACUUUGGAAAAUAUGUUGCUGUUUGAGGAGGUCUCUUAUUACCUCAUCAUACAAACUAUAAUAAAUAUCUUGUCAUUCAAAAUAUGAGAAGUCUCUUAUACAAACUAUAGUUUAAAUAAGGAAUCUCUUGUCAAGCAAACUAUAAGGAACAAAUGUCAACUAUAGAAUACCGAUGCAACAUCCACACAUUUGGCAGAUUUUGCGUAGAAAAUAUUUACCGGCACCAUUUAGCUACUGCUCACACAUACUGUAGCAGGAAUAUGUGUAGACUUAACACUUGUAUGACAGGCAUCCUGUAUGUACAACUUCAUCAGCAUUCUGUGGUUGAGCUUUCCUUUAAAAUGCAUGCUUUUGAUUGGGUGUUGCGGAGGAUCACAGAGGUUGAUGUGGUUGAGGUCGAUUUCAGAUCUAACCAAAACCCUUGUCUUGCUGGAGGUGUUCACAGAAGCUAGAUGCAGAGUUGUUACCGAUUCUCCCAUCGAUUGCACCAGAAGUCGCUCUGGAUAAGUGUGUGCUAAAUGACUCAAAUGUAAUGUACAAUGUCAUUUCGAUGUCUGAAGGUGUGUCGUACUUGGCUCCCCUUGUGGUCAACGUCCAGGGCUUGGGUCUUCACCUUGGUCUCCAGCAGGGUCAGCCUCUGUAUCAUGGAGGGCAUCAGCUCAAAAUCACUAUGGGGUGCACCUGGAGGGUUCAGUCAGAAUUCACUAGAUCAGGCAGCGUAAUACCUCUAUAAUAAAGGCUACUGUAUGACACUCGGCAGAUGUUUUUUUCUUCUCCAAAGCGUCUUACGGUACAGUGAUGCAUACAUUGUUGCUGAUUCUGAGAACACUCUGUUUCAAUGUUCCUGUACAUUAUCAGAAACUGACAUUUGUGACCACAGUGCUGUAUUAAGAAAAUGAGACACUUUAUUUUGUGGUCCAUGCACACAACAUACUAAUCUAACAACCAUGCAUGAGAUUUCCAGUGUUAUCGAAGUUGUAUGUGCUCACAGCACUUAUUUUGAACAUGACGGAUGUGACGUUGGUUGUGGUUGUGAAUAUUUCAGCACAGGGCAAGUUGCAAGGACAUCAAAGGAACAUACAAAAGGAGUUGCUUUUCCUUUGUUUGGCCUUUGAUUUGGAAGGACAGGCAAUAUCAGUGGCUUGAGUCUGAGGCGUAGGGUGAUUCAAAGAAGAUACAUCAUUCAGCAGAGUAGCUUCAUAUUCUAAAGAAAAAAUUUAAAAAGGAAAAAAAACAACCAGAAUGACCCCAGGUUUUUAAAGAACUAUAUCCAGAGGCAGCUUAGGUUUCAAAUCAUUGGAUAUCUCAUAGUUAGACUAUAGCAGGAUUCCCCAACUGGCGGCCCGCUGGACAAAUUCGGCCCGUGGGUGAUUUUAUUUGGCCAUCCAAGUUUUAUGAGCAAUAAAUAAUACUAAAAUGUUUUUUUAUUUUUGUUGUUGGUCAUAAACGACUAAAAACACCAGCAAAUCAGAUCCAAGUGAUUUUCAUUUUGGAAAUCUAUUCCAAAGUAUCCCCACGCACCAUAGAGAGAUAUGUGAUCGUAUACAAAUGUAAACAAGGUUUGAAAUUAUUAUGAUUAGUAAAACAGUAUAUCUUCUUGUGGUCAAUUUGCAGUCUACAAAUGAUUUGCAAUAUGUUCUGCCCCCCUGACCAUCUGCUCUAGAAAAGAAUAUGCUUUUAAACACCUUAAUUCCAUACCUGCAAAUGGAUUCUCCUUGAAAGGCACUCAUCUCUUAUUUGAGCAAAAUUAUCAAUCAUCAGUAACGCAAAUAAACAUGUACAUCCAUCUAAUUGCUAUACUUUUUGUUUUGGAAAAGAUCCACUUUGUUUUCUCUCGAACAUACCCAUGAUGAUUCAUGGGCCCAGGAAGAGGAACCCAUCAGUUUUUCCCCAACAUUGAAAGUGGUGAGCUCAUCUCCUCACAUUCAUAAAACACCUGGGGUCGAUAGGAUGCACAAAUGGCUAGCAGACUAGUUUACAGAGGUCAGUUUGUGAUUCAACAAUGAACGUAAAAAAUACAAUAUUUAUGAGCACCUGGCUGACAUUGACAUGGUUUACAUGCAAGCACAUAGCAGCUAAAAACGCUAAAUAAAUGUCCUGAAAGUCUACACUUGGUUCAGUUAUUAGACUUAAUAAACAAAAGUAACUUUUAUUUGCCAUGCUAGGAAUUUAUAAAUGACUUACAAGUGAAUGGCUCUAGAUUCCGUAGGUUGGAAUAUUAUUACUAAAUGAUUGUUUGGAGUUCAUUGCGAUUGGUAACGUGGAUCGUGACAUUUCAGUGGCUUGUUGCUGGUUCCAGAAUUCAAUGCACCCUCGUUCCCACUGUGAAGAACACGCCAAAGGGAUACGUUGUAAUUCAAAGUAUGACAUUGUAAUCAUCCAUCGACAAACCUUGACAUAGAUUGAACGAUGGAUCCAAACACCAGUCUACUUUUUUAUUUCAAAAGUUGUCACACACAUGACUGUAAAACAAAUAUCUGUUCUUGUGCACAUACAGUCAUAGUGCACACACCCCUUUCACACCCAUCCUCUUCUAGCUGAAAUAGACACAGAUACACUUUUGCUGUUCAGAGACUCAACCCUAUUCAACAUGAACAAAGCUCUGGUCUGUGCUGUCUUCAUCUUUCUGGUGUUUUCUGUGUUCACAGAGGCCAUGGAGGGGAAUGCUGAUCCCCCAAAGGACAAGGCAUCGGGGGCAAGCACCUUGACUCUUCCGUUUUUGCUGCAGUUGGGGCUGAUGGUUGCACCUGCCUUAUUUCAAACUCUGCUGUAGCACUUGCUAUGCUCUCCUUCCACAAGACUCUGCAGAACUUCUGCAAGAACGGGGGCAACAACAUAACAAUAGCUUUAAUGACUAGGCCUACUAUAUUUACCUGUACUGUAGACCCUAGCUGACCCGUUUCCAUGAUUGAACACCAUGAAAUUCUUAACCCAAAUGAUCUUGUAAUAAUCAUACAGAAACAGAAAUAAAGUUGUGUAUCUACA